UGAGUGUUAUGAUGGUGGAAUGGGAUUAUUUCUAUUCUUAGUCUAGCUCUGGUCUACCGCUAGGAAUUUUCCUAGCGG
rfam:Streptococcus uberis 0140J complete genome